rnacentral:misc_RNA from 1 species
GAUGAAGAACGCAGCGAAAUGCGAUAAGUAAUGUGAAUUGCAGAAUUCCGUGAAUCAUAGAAUCUUUGAACGCACAUUGCGCCCCCUGGCAUUCCGGGGGGCAUGCCUGUCCGAGCGUCAUUUCUGCCCUCCAGCCCGGCUGGGUGUUGGGCGCUGUCCCCCCGGGGACACGCCCCAAAGGCAGUGGCGGCGCCGCGUCGGGUCCUCGAGCGUAUGGGGCUUUGUCACCCGCUCGGGACGGACUCGUCGGCGCUGGUCUUCCUCCAGGCGACCAUUCGGGGCUCGUCUUCCUUCGGUUGACCUCGGAUCAGGUAGGGUUACCCGCUGAACUUAAGCAUAUCAAUAAGCGGAGGA